rnacentral:rRNA from 1 species
AGAGCGAACGCUGGCGGCAGGCCUAACACAUGCAAGUCGAGCGCCCCGCAAGGGGAGCGGCAGACGGGAGAGUAACACGUGGGAACGUGCCCUUUGGUUCGGAACAACACAGGGAAACUUGUGCUAAUACCGGAUAAGCCCUUACGGGGAAAGAUUUAUCGCCAAAGGAUCGGCCCGCGUCUGAUUAGCUAGUUGGUGAGGUAACGGCUCACCAAGGCUACGAUCAGUAGCUGGUCUGAGAGGAUGAUCAGCCUCACUGGGACUGAGACACGGCCCAGACUCCUACGGGAGGCAGCAGUGGGGAAUAUUGGACAAUGGGCGCAAGCCUGAUCCAGCCAUGCCGCGUGGGUGAUGAAGGCCCUAGGGUUGUAAAGCCCUUUCGGCGGGGAAGAUAAUGACGGUACCGCAGAAGAAGCCCCGGCUAACUUCGCGCCAGCAGCCGC